rnacentral:lncRNA from 1 species
GUUAAUCAGUUGACCCCAGCCAGUACGACCACCAUUUUCGACCACGGCUUGAGCGUCUUUCAGAGAAGUCAUAGCAGGAGGAGCACGAAUAACCUUGGGCACAUGGGAAGUUGGCUUAAGGACAGGGCUGGUCGGAGGAACUACUUCAAAUGACUGAGAAGGAGUCUCAAAGAAUUCGCCAUCCAUCUCGACGUAUCUGAAGGUAUGCACACUACUGACAAUAUACUCUUCUUCUCCACACACAGUGACAAUCUUGC